rnacentral:rRNA from 1 species
AUUGAACGCUGGCGGCAGGCCUAACACAUGCAAGUCGAACGAGUGGCGGACGGGUGAGUAAUGUCGGGGAAACUGCCUGAUGGAGGGGGAUAAAUACUGGAAACGGUAGCUAAUACCGCAUACCAUCAGAUGUGCCCAGAUGGGAUGAGCUUGUUGGUGGGGUAACGUCUAACAAAGGCGACGAUCCCUAGCUGGUCUGAGAGGAUGACCAGCCACACUGGUACUGAGCCACGGUCCAGACUCCUACGGGAGGCAGCAGUUGGGAAUAUUGCACAAUGGGCGCAAUCCGGAUGCAGCCAUGCCGCGUGUAUGAAGAAGGCCUUCGGGUUGUAAAGCACUUUCAGCGGGGAGGCGUUACCCGCAGAAGAAGCACCGGCUAACUCCGUGCCAGCAGCCGCGGUAAUAC